rnacentral:rRNA from 1 species
ACGAGCGGCCCUAGUGGCUUGGUCCCACCUGUUCCCAUUUCGAACACAGAAGUGAAAUAAGCCGACGUUCCGUUAUGGUACUGCAUUUAAUGCGGGAAGUUCGGUUCGCUGCUCACC